UACGUAGGGGGCAAGCGUUGUCCGGAAUUAUUGGGCGUAAAGCGCGUGUAGGCGGCCAGAAAAGUCCGCUGUGAAAACUCGAGGCUCAACUUCGAGCUGUCGGUGGAAACUUUCUGGCUAGAGUCCGGAAGAGGAGAAUGGAAUUCCUGGUGUAGCGGUGAAAUGCGCAGAUAUCAGGAAGAACACCCGUGGCGAAGGCGGUUCUCUGGGACGGUACUGACGCUGAGACGACGAAGCGUGGGGGAGCGAACAGG
rnacentral:rRNA from 1 species